CUCCCAUGAGGGUCUCAGUGACAUUUGAUGGCUCUGACUCUCCCAGGUCACUCUGCUUGCAGCUUGCCUCUGUGGGCUCGGCUCCUGGAUCCCAUCCUGAAACAGUCCGAACCACACUGUCACUCCUCCUACCACACCAAGCCUCCCCUACUCUGCCGAGGGCCCCGGUCACACUUUGUAAGGGGAGAUGUGGCCCGUUCCUAACAUCUGGCCCCAGUUCCAAGGGGAAGUUUCUCAUUUGGUGUCUUGGAUGACAAAGGGUGCAGGGCUGUCCUCCCACACCAUCCAAAACUACACCAUGGGUUCUGAUUUCUCCUCCUCCCACCAAACUCGCCAUCUUUCAAGGCUCCCAAUUUUGGCUCAAGAGUCAAGAGGAGAAACCCUGAUGUGGAACUGAUCUGGAGACAGAGAGAGAGGGAGGGUCUGUCCUUGUCAGGACCCUGAGCACAUGCACCCCUGCAGGCUCUGAUCUCUGUGGGGUUGCAGUUCUGUCCCUCACACUCAACACCUUGCGUCUAGGCCUGGAUGUGUCCCCUGCAGGCUCUGAUCUCUGUGGGGUUGGAGUUCUGUCCCUCACACUCGACACCUUGCGUCUAGGCCUGGAUGUGUCCCCUGCAGGCUCUGAUCUCUGUGGGGUUGGAGUUCUGUCCCUCACACUCGACACCUUGCGUCUAGGCCUGGAUGUGUCCCCUGCAGGCUCUGAUCUCUGUGGGGUUGGAGUUCUGUCCCUCACACUCGACACCUUGCGUCUAGGCCUGGAUGUGUCCCCUGCAGGCUCUGAUCUCUGUGGGGUUGGAGUUCUGUCCCUCACACUCGACACCUUGCGUCUAGGCCUGGAUGUGUCCCCUGCAGGCUCUGAUCUCUGUGGGGUUGGAGUUCUGUCCCUCACACUCGACACCUUGCGUCUAGGCCUGGAUGUGUCCCCUGCAGGCUCUGAUCUCUGUGGGGUUGGAGUUCUGUCCCUCACACUCAACGCCUUGCGUCUAGGCCUGGAUGUGUCCCCUGCAGGCUCUGAUCUCUGUGAGGUUGCGGUUCUGUCCCUCACACUCAACACCUUGCCUCUAGGCCUGGAUGUGUCCACAGGUGCUCAGUGAAUUCUGGCUGAAUGAGGGAAUCCAUCCAGAAGCCCACGAUGGUGAAAAUUUCUGCAAGUAGAACCCCAGGUAGAAUAUGGCUGCUGGGGGUGAGUACAUGAGGUACCCAUCUGGCCUCUCAAGCCCCUACAUUGUAAAGUACUAUGAAGGCAGAGUGUGGCGGAGGUGCUCUUGGAGAUCAGAGUGUGCAUGAGGUAGAGGAAUGCUCGCACUGACCUGCCCUGCAUGGGUGCAAAGGACACAUAAUCUGGCACAUCUACUGGAUGGAUUCCAGGGAGGAGGCAGAGACAGGUGGAAUACCCACUGCUCAAGUCCACAGUGGGGCUCAGCAGUGCAGAAACUGGACUCAAACCCCAGGUCUACCACCUUAAUCAGUCCUGCCCUCAUCUGGGACUCAGUCUCCCCAUCUGUAAGCCAUGGAUGCUGUGCCGCUGGCCUUCCAGGGCCACUAACCACUAUCAGGCUCUUGUCGUGCUGGGCCCCAAGCACAGUGGGUGACUUCCAUCGCCUCAUUUCAGCUUCGACCUGCUCUCAGAAGGAGGUACUGCUGUGAUUCUGUUGCAGAUGGGGAAACUGAAAUCCAGCUGAGGGAAGGUGUUGAGUAACUGGUACAGGAUCACAGUUAGCUAGUGGCCCAGUUGGGAUUUCAGCUCCAGAAUGUUCUCCUCCAGGUCCACAGGCAGUCUCCCCUGCUCCCCCAGCCAUCUGCUUGGCCCUGUCUCCCCCUUCCUUCCUCUAUCCAGAAACAUCACACCACCUGCUUUUACCAGAAUACACCAGUGCAAAUCACACUGCCAGGCCUUUGACCCCACCAUUCCCUCUGCAUUUUACCCUUUCUCUGAGCUUUGGCCAACCCUGUGGGAGGAUGGGGCCACUCCCUCCUUCCUCUCCCUGUCUCUGUGACAUCUGCUUGGGCAUAGACCAACCUCUGUUCCAGAGAGGCCUGUUUCUCCCAGAGCUGAACAAAUUAUCCUAACAGUUGCAGUUACCAUUUAUUUAAUCUGUGCCAGGCACCAUUUCAGGUGCUGCACGGGUAUUGCCUUGUAUCUCGCAACACCACUAAGGUGGGCGUUUUUAUUACAAUCCCCAUUUUACCCAUGAGUAAACUGAGGCACAAGGGAGUCACAUGGCCAGGAAGAGCAGCAGCGGUUGGAUCUACUGAGCCUUGAUGAUGCAGCUGUAUCCAGACUCCACAUUCCUCCUGCACACUGCACGUUUCCUCCCAGUGUGUGGUAUGCCCACCUCCUAUCUGUUGCCAAUAGGCCAGGCCAAGCCCAUCUGAGACGAGCCACCACUCCCUGCUCUGGAUUGUCCCAAGGCUGGGUCUUCCCUGCAUCCCACUGGACCUCCCUGGGUUGGGAUGUUUGUGUGGGUCUCUGUGAGUAACAGUGCCCAGCUGAGCCUGGGGCAGGUCUGACCCACCCAAAUCCUGGAGGCCAGCCCAGGGUGGGCAUAGAGAAGGUACACAGGGACAUCUGGUAUUUCCGUCACCCCCAACAGCCACCCCAGGCACCCAGGCCCUCGUCUGGUUUCCUCUGAGAAACAGCCAGUUGCUCACUGUUAGUCCCUGGGAUUUGGUUGGCCAAACACAAACAUAAGAUCCCAACCAGGCCAGUGGGGGCUCAGACCAGGGACCUCUUAUUGUUAUUACCCCGGGGUUUCUACAUUGGUAAGACAUAAGCCUGGGGUUCCUGGCUAUCUUUAACCCCUUUGGAAAGAGAACCUAAAAUAAGAAUGAAGCUAACACAGAAAAAACCAACUGAGAAACAGAACAAGAGAGGAAGAAGAGAGUUCUGAUGCUGUCAACAGAUCUUCUGGAUAUAGCCGUAUCUGCUGCCUCCUUACCCUUCUUUGCUUCAGCCCAUUUCAGCUCGCUUUUGGUCACCUGCAACCAAAACACACCUGUCUACAACAGUGUGUGAGAGUUACGGUAAAGUACAAAUGUGAGAAUGGGUGCAUGAGCAACCCCAAACCAGAGCCCUGUGCUCCCAUGUUCCUGUCCAGGGUGUAUCUCUGGUGUGCCGUGAAGCUGCCCACGGCGCCCCUUUACCUCUCUUGUCCAGCACCUGAGUCAGAUCCUCCACCAGCACAGCGGCUUCCUCUCCGCUCUUGGGACUCUGGGCUCCCACC
rnacentral:lncRNA from 1 species